GGCGCUGCCCAGCCCGGCCCAGCACGGCACGGCACGGCUCGCACCCACGGCGAGAGGCGCGCGCGCUACGCGACGCCACUGUCCGUCGCGUACCCUACCCUGCCCUGACCUGAACCGAGGACCUCCGCUUGCAAAUUCUGCUGAACGGCUGCACUGCGUGUCGAAGAAUUCUGCAUAACGCUGUCGCACGCCAUUUGCCGACACCACGGAGGGACGAGAUAACACGAGAGCUGCAAGACUGCAUUCUUCAUCUCCAGCGAUGAACAGAUCAAGUUGCCCAGUGAUCGGAAAAAUCUUCUCUAGCAGGUCAUCUUAAGGAAGAAGAAACCAACAAAUCGUGCACACCGGACAGAGUUGAACGAGGAAAACCACUUCGUCUCGUCAAAGUCUGAGAUGCAGUCGAUAACGUUUCUGCGGGUUCCUGAAGGAAGAUCUGCCGGGCGAAUCUAAACUCGUAGAGACUGAGUAAGCGGCGCAGAGAAAUUGGAUUUCCAUAUCAAAUCGAAGGCCCUCCAGAGGGGUUCGCCGGCCGCUGCUGACUGCAGCGCUAUCUGAGCCCCACCCGGCCCGGCCCUGCCC